ACCUUAUAUAGAUGUAGUGACGCAAGACAGUGACGCAUUUCCCUGUAAGGUGGUGUUUCAAUAGAAGUAUAAACAAUAAGUCUUGUUGUGAGGCUACGAGUCGAAAUAAGGUGAGUUUAUAUGGAAUAGGUUAACCGUAAGACCUUGAAUUGAGAUAUUCUAAAAUUGACCUAGGAAGGCAAACGCAAUUUCGCGAUUUUCGCUCUUUCUAGUUACGGUAUA
ncrna:unclassified sequences IS605-orfB-I RNA